GGGAGAGAGAGAGGAAAGAAAAUGUGAGAGAGUGCAGGGACAGAAGACACCUGAGAUGAGGUGUCUCUCCACGGAGUACCUACGGCCCUGGCCUGGGGAGCCUUUCUGGAUCAGCAUGGUCCAGCUCUCCAGGAGAAGGCAGGACCUGCACAGCCUGCACACAGACCCGCAUCCCCACAGAACAACAGACUCGGUUACCACAUUUUACAAGGACAUGGUAGCCAGUUACCAAAGGUCAAAGUGUGAAUGAUAAGCAAAUUUGUUCUUGUUUGUAAGCUGUGGCAACUCAAAGUCCAAUACAGUAAAAGUUAAGCAUGGUUUAUGCAAGCUUUGCAAUAAGCAUUUUUGUUAAAGGCAUACCCAGACCCUGACAGAGCAGGUUAAUAAUUACAUAUACAUGAAGAAACGACAUACACAAUUGUCACGCAAGAUGUUGUAUACAACCAUAGCUAAUUGUCAUGGUUUUAAUUCCAGGUAUAUUUUAAAGUGUAUGGUUUUUAGUCAGUACAUUUGACCACUAGUUAACAAGGCACUGCUAAUG